UACGUAGGGUGCAAGCGUUGUCCGGAAUUAUUGGGCGUAAAGAGCUCGUAGGCGGUCUGUCGCGUCGGCUGUGAAAACCUGGGGCUUAACUCCGGGCCUGCAGCCGAUACGGGCAGACUAGAGUUCGGCAGGGGAGACUGGAAUUCCUGGUGUAGCGGUGAAAUGCGCAGAUAUCAGGAGGAACACCGGUGGCGAAGGCGGGUCUCUGGGCCGAUACUGACGCUGAGGAGCGAAAGCAUGGGUAGCGAACAGG
rnacentral:rRNA from 1 species